ensembl:piRNA 21ur-6093 ncRNA
UGAUAAUAAUCAAUCAAUACU